rnacentral:misc_RNA from 1 species
AUUAAUAUACACACUUCCGGCAUCGUCAAACGGGAUCAAGAAACGGCAAGGGGAAGAAACAAUACCACUACAGAAGAAAAAAGAUGUCAUACAGAGAUAGAAUGUUCGAUUCUUCGGGACGUUCUGAUAGGAAAGGAUUUGGAGCAAGUAGUGGUUUACCCAAAGCUUUUGGGUCCUCGAAGUUUGGAGAUCGAGGAGGUCCCAGAAGUGGAGGAAGAGGGGGAGGUGGGGGGAGAUUUGGAAUGGAUAGAGGUGGUAUGCGAGGUGGUAAAAUGGGCAAAGGACAUCAACCUGGAGAAAAUUUACGCAAGCCUAGGUGGGACAUGUCACGACUACAGAAGUUUGAGAAAAAUUUCUAUGUAGAACAUCCAGGUGUUUCCAGCAGAUCACAGAUGGACAUUGAUCAGUUUUAUAAUGAACAUCAAGUAACAGUUAAGGGCACAGGUAUACCUAAGCCUAUCUUCGCAUUUGAAGAAGGCGGAUUUCCAGAUUAUGUAAUGUCCACAUUCCGUCGCUUGGGCUGGACUAGACCCACUAGCAUUCAGACUGUAAGUUGGCCAGUUGCAAUGUCUGGGAGAGAUGUUGUUGGAAUUGCACAGACUGGUUCUGGAAAAACAGCAGGGGUAAGGGAUUUCUUAAGCAUUAUUUACCUGGUAUUACUGUUUAAAAGUGUAUGUAAAGCUUGAAGACAAGUUCUAACAAUAAUUUUUUUUUUUUAGUUUAUUGUGCCAUCCAUUGUACACAUAAAUCAUCAGCCACACUUGCAACCUCAUGAUGGACCCAUUGUUCUUGUAUUGGUACCAACCAGAGAACUGGCCCAACAAGUACAGGAAGUAGCAAAUGAUUUUGGCCAUGCUUCCAGAAUAAGGAAUGUUUGUGUUUAUGGUGGUGCCCCAAAAGGACCUCAGAUACGAGACUUAGAGAGAGGUGCUGAAAUCUGCAUUGCAACACCUGGGCGGUUGAUUGAUUUUCUGGAGGCAGGAAAAACAAACCUCAGAAGGUGCACCUAUCUUGUACUGGACGAGGCAGAUAGGAUGUUAGACAUGGGUUUUGAACCUCAGAUCAGAAAAAUUGUAGAACAAAUCAGACCUGACCGACAAACCCUUAUGUGGAGUGCCACUUGGCCAAAGGAUGUGAGAAAAUUGGCCGAGGAUUUCCUGAAAGAGUACAUCCAGCUUAACAUUGGGGCACUUCAGCUGAGUGCAAAUCACAACAUUCUGCAAAUUAUUGAUGUCUGUGAUGAAAAUGAAAAGGAAUUUAAGCUGACCAAAUUACUGGAAGAAAUCAUGCAAGAAAAGGAAAACAAGACCUUAAUUUUCACAGAAACAAAGAGAAAGGCAGAUGAAAUAACCAGAAGAAUGAGGAGAGAAGGCUGGCCAAUGAUGUGUAUACAUGGAGAUAAAUCUCAACAAGAGAGAGACUGGGUCUUAAAUGGAUUUAGGUCUGGCCAGACUCCCAUUCUUGUUGCCACAGAUGUUGCGUCCAGAGGGUUAGAUGUUGGAGACAUCAAAUUUGUCAUAAACUUUGACUACCCCUCCUCAUCGGAGGACUACGUCCACAGGAUUGGACGAACUGCCAGAGCAGGACAAACAGGGACAGCCUACACAUUCUUCACUCCCGACAAUGUCAAACAAGCAAAUGAUCUCAUCUCUGUCCUUCAAGAGGCCAAACAAGUGGUCAAUCCAAAACUGGUGACUUUAAGUCAGAGUGCCAGGUUCGGAGGUCGGAAAUCCAGAUUUGAUGAUAAGAGAGACAAAUUCGGUAGGGGAUAUGGAGGAGGUGGUCGUGACAGGGGGGGCUCUAGGGGUGGAAUGGGCUCUAGGGGUGGAUAUGGGGGUCGAGGUGGAAGCAGCGCUAGUGCAAGUAGAGGAAGUGGGGGGAGUUCAUCUGGGUUCAAUACGCGAUCAGGUGGCAGUAGAUUCUCCAGCUCAGAUAGGGGGAGCUCAGGCGGUGGUAGAGGGUAUGGUUCCCAGAGUCAGAGUAGUGGAUAUGGGGGCAGUCAAAGUUACUCUCAACCAAACGGAUCUACCUCUGGUAGUUAUGGACAGCAGAAUGGAUAUGGAAGUCAACAAAGGGGAGGAGCUAGUAGUAGUGGGGCCAAUGAUUGGUCCAAUCAGAUGGCCUACAUGUUCAACAGUUGGCCUGGUCAACAACCGUCCGCGGGACAGCCUCCUCUCCCCACAGGAAAUCCCCCACCCCCUCCUCCCAUGUAAUGAACACAUUUCAUUCAGGAUCUUUCUUUUUAUUUGUAAUUUUUACUCAUUUGUUAGAAACAUGUUUUACUGUGAUUAUAUUUCUCAUUUCAUGUCGUGUUUUAUUUAUAUUUUUUUUUUAAAUUCUCCAUCGAUAUUUCUGAAAGUGACCAAUUUUAUAGAGAACUGUAAGUAAGUAGCAAAGUAAUCCAAAAGUUGAUUACUUAUAUAAAGACAUUUUUGUUCAUUCUUGUUGUCAUAUGAAGAGAGAAAGUUAAUAAAAAAUUUGCUACGCU